rnacentral:rRNA from 1 species
AUUGAACGCUGGCGGCAGGCCUAACACAUGCAAGUCGAACGAGUGGCGGACGGGUGAGUAAUGUCUGGGAAACUGCCUGAUGGAGGGGGAUAACUACGGGAAACGGUAGCUAAUACCGCAUACCAUCGGAUGUGCCCAGGUGGGAGUAGCUAGUAGGUGGGGUAAAGGCUCACCAAGGCGACGAUCCCUAGCUGGUCUGAGAGGAGGACCAGCCACACUGGAACUGAGACACGGCCCAGACUCCUACGUGAGGCAGCAGUGGGGAAUAUUGCACAAUGGGCGCAAGCCUGAUGCAGCCAUGCCGCGUGUAUGAAGAAGGCCUUCGGGUUGUAAAGUACUUUCAGUGGGGAGGCGUUACCCGCAGAAGAAGCACCGGCUAACUCCGUGCCAGCAGCCGCGGUAAUUC